UGGAGGGAGACCCGGGAGAGGCAGGGGAGCGCGGGGCCGCGGUUGUGAAUCCAAGACCUGAAAACAAACCAAGAGGUUUAAGCCUUUUACUGUGUCUACCAAGUUUUUCACUCAACCUGGAAAGCUGCCAGUAUGAUUAAAGCUACAGUGAACUCAG